AGGGAUUGAGAUAGCUGCGAAAAAAGCUUCCAGUGAUAUUUUAAAUUCGAAUUUGGAUUUGAUUUAUUUGCGAUGUCAGUGGAAUUAGAAACAAAUCACCUUUGGCACAAAAGAAUUCAGUUUGAAACGUUCAAGGAGAACCCAAAUGUUCAGCAAACCAAAGAAUAGCAAGGUCACGUCAGAAUCAGAUCUACAAACAACUUCUACUGUUGUAGGAUAUUCAGCGCCUUUCUCGAUCUCUUAGAAAUCACAGUCCACAUACCUUCCAAUCAUAUAUACUACCAACUGGAAAGAAAGAGAAAGCGCUUUAGAUAAUGGAGUCUUCAAAACUUAUGAAAAGACGAGACGGUCAUGGAUGGAAUUUCUUGGAUCCUAGGUUUGCCCAAAAGUCAAUCUGUGUAAUGUUUUCCCUGAUCAAGCAGAACAGUCUUAAGAAUUUUAUAGUUUGAGUAAAAUUCCGUAACUAAUCGUUAAAACCUACUCAUAGCUGUCGAAGAAGAAGAAGAAGAAGAAGAAGAAGAAGAAGAAGAAGAAGAAGAAG